rnacentral:lncRNA from 1 species
CUGGGGUUCACAGAAGAGGCUGGGUCAGCUGGCUGUGGUAAGCCCUCAUGGCUGGCUGCUGGGAUAACUGGAUACCAGCUUACAGCUUGUUCCCGUGCGCCUGCCAGGAAGCUCGAACACGUCAGCUGUGUAAGGUGGUCAACCCUGUGUCCAUGCCCUGCCUCCCUUGGACUGCGUGGGGGUGAGCACUGAGGAGAGGCUCUCAAGCAUAUUCCACAUUCACUGUAAGCCAAACCCCUUCUCCAUCUGCAUUACUAUGCACUGUCCUCUUUUGUAACAGUCCUUAUGCUCAGCCAAAAUGGCAGCAGCCACAAGAAAGAGAAAAGGGAAGGAGGGUGCUGAAGAGUAGUCACCCUCCCUGCUGUUCCUGGGCUGAAUAACUAAUAUUCUUUUUAUUUCUAUCACACUGCCUGUUAGCAGCACAGAUGGUAAAAAAUACCCCUGAAUGCGAAGGAGUGCAAAAUAAAGAUAUAACCAUGUGGAACCUAGACAGGCUGACUGUGUGGGGUAAGCAGAGUACAUUUGAAUACAGCUAAAUGGCAAAUCAUCCAUUGAAGAAGACAAAGCAUUGUGAAUACUUGCAGAAUAAGGGAACUUGUCCCAGCUAGCUCUGGGAAAUUGCGAGCUGUCCAUGGGACAUGGGGGCCACAACAGCUAAAGGAUGUCGUGAAAAUGGGCCUGCAUCCAGUGGUAAAGACGUUGCCACGUCUGUCUCUGACAUCAGUGCAAAUUCCAAAGUGCUCUAACGGUUUCUGAUGCCCAGUUCAAAAAGAUUUCAAAAAGAGUGCUGGUGAAUUAGAGGCAGAGCAGAGCUAGAAAUGAUUAACAGAUCAGAAAAUGACUUCUAGUAAAGAACUGCAGGAAUUCUGCCUCCAUGGAAACUUUAAAAUGGAGAGGGCUACUUUUCCAGCUGAGACCAUCCUCCUCCAGGCAUAAUACCUCCACAAGUAUCAGGAAUGUAUGGCUUCCUAAAGAAUCUAAAAUGAAAUUAUCAGAAGCAGUCAGAAGGAAAACUCCCUGCUGUUCCUGACCUGGAAAGAAUGCUGGGGCUGAAAUGCUAUUGCCAAAGGUUCCAACACAAAUAGCCGGGGGGAAAAGUCAACACCCCAGCAUGGAGGGAUGGGAAGGAGAACAGGAUGGGAUAGGUUGCUUCAAUAGCAAAGAAAAGAUUCAGCAGUACAGAGUUCUGUUCCAGUGAUUAAUGGAAAUGGCUUCUGAGUGAAGUGAAAAUAAAUAAAAUGCCAG